AUUGAACGCUGGCGGCAGGCCUAACACAUGCAAGUCGAGCGAGUGGCGGACGGGUGAGUAAUGUCUGGGAAACUGCCUGAUGGAGGGGGAUAACUACUGGAAACGGUAGCUAAUACCGCAUACCAUCAGAUGUGCCCAGAUGGGAUUAGCUAGUUGGUGGGGUAACGGCUCACCAAGGCGACGAUCCCUAGCUGGUCUGAGAGGAUGACCAGCCACACUGGAACUGAGACACGGUCCAGACUCCGACGGGAGUCAGCAGUGGGGAAGAUUGCACAAUGGGCGCAAGCGUGAUGCAGCCAUGCCGCGUGUGUGAAGAAGGCCUUCGGGUGGUAAAGUACUUUCAGCGGGGAGGCGUUACCCGCAGAAGAAGCACCGGCUAACUCCGUGCCAGCAGCCGCGGUAAUUC
rnacentral:rRNA from 1 species